rnacentral:lncRNA from 1 species
UCACCGCUUGAUAGAUUGAUAGAUGGAAGGAGUUAAACAAAUAAUCAAUAGUAUAAUUAAUCAAGAUCUUAAUCAACCACAGAUCAACAAAUAACGUAAAACGAGAUAAAAAAAAAAGAGAGAGAACACGUGAAUGAAAUAUUAUUAAAUUCUAAUUUCAAUAUAUUGAUUAUUCCUUUAGGGUUGUGAGUAGCAACUUUAUCUUCUCAAGUAGUGGCCUUACAUCAAGAAAGACACCCACUCUAGC